CUCCCCCGCACCAUCGUCGUCCCGCCUGCGAUUUCUGGCCGUACGAUCCUCCUAGGUUGCCGCUCGAUUAUAUCUGUUGGCUCUUCCACCGCUGCCGCAGGAGUUUGGGGUCAUCCGGCGCCGUCCACGCUGCCUAUGCCACCGUCCUCGCUACCCCAGGCCGUCGCACUCCUCCCUCUCCCCCCUUCGAAGGCAAUGCCUGCGGGCGGAUCGAGACGGUCUCUCCUUCCCGCAUCCCAUCCCCCGCUCUGGGACUCAUUCUCGACGGCCUCCGGGGCAGGGCCUGUGCUGCUCGCCGGUCCGCUCGCCCCCCGGCGUCGCGUCGGCGAUGGUCACGCCAGUCUUCCACGCCCAGCCCCGACCGCCCGCCGCAUCUGCAGCCACCUGAGCCGGAGCCUGCGCUGCCGGAAGUUCCGAUCAGCCGUCAACACCCACAGAGAAGCUUCGCGAACAGGGCGUGCGUGUGGCAGCUUGCCGCCGGCCGGCCCACCUAGCUUUCCACUGUUGCCGGUCGUCAUCAACGGCUGGGCCCCUCGCCGCGUCGACUCCUUUGAGAAGAUUGACAAGUUCGCGUGUGGUGUGGUGACGCCGCGCGCCUGGGCUGGGCCCGUGGCUCGGUUUGGCAGUACUGAACGCCUGAAAUGGCAAGUUUUUGGCUUCGAGACAGCGAAAUCUGCGAGAACUGUGAACGCCGCGAACCCAGUAUGGCAGCCAGGGCAGAAGUGUACAAGCAGAACCGUCUGGUGAAUGCAUUUCAGGCAGUUCUUAUUGCAAGCCUGCAACUGUGCUUGCGUCCGAUCCAAUUGGAAAUCUCUGCAGCAUGUUUUCCUGUACCUGCAUCCAACCUAACGAUGAGUCUUUACAUCGUUCCCGUAUAAUUCAAGAGUCACUUUAAUUUAAAACUUAGCCGCAAACAAUGUUUAAUCACAGACAAUGAUAACUCGAUUCAGAAUGGUGUGCUGGAUGUA